ACAGCAGCCGCCGCGGGAAUACGAAGGGGGCUAGCGUUGUUCGGAUUUACUGGGCGUAAAGCGCACGUAGGCGGACUUUUAAGUCAGGGGUGAAAUCCCGGGGCUCAACCCCGGAACUGCCUUUGAUACUGGAAGUCUUGAGUAUGGUAGAGGUGAGUGGAAUUCCGAGUGUAGAGGUGAAAUUCGUAGAUAUUCGGAGGAACACCAGUGGCGAAGGCGGCUCACUGGACCAUUACUGACGCUGAGGUGCGAAAGCGUGGGGAGCAAACAGGAUUAGAUACCCGUGUAGUCCCUGUCUCUUAUAU
rnacentral:rRNA from 1 species